rnacentral:rRNA from 1 species
AUGUCUUGUUGCAGCCAUAAGAGUGAUAGUAGGUGCAGCCAUAAGGUUUCGUCGUCUCUCCCUCAAAGCUUGAAGGAAGAUCCUCAACUAUUUCAAAAGGCCCAAACAUUCUUCAGAUUUUCUGAUCUUUGUCAUGGCUGUCAACUUUUGGCUUUCAAACUUAAAACAGGUGUACAAAGAUGCAUCCAUCUCUAUCUCUCAUACUUAAAAUACGUGUGCAGGUUGAGCACCUUUGAAGCGAACCUCUUCCUGUGCGGGCUGCUGAAAAUGGCUGGAUCACGGCUGCUCUGGCGCACCAACCAUCCUGUGGCAAUGCUGCCUAUUGUGCUCAAUGAUCAAGGCAUAGUUGACAGCCUUACUGAAAAUAAUCAGAGAAGCAUGUGGGCUAGCACAAGGAUAGGGGAGGACGAACAACUCUACUUAGUCCAUGUUCAGGGCACUGCUGGCAUCGGUCUCCCGAUUACGCUGGCUGUCAAGAAGUUCCAGAACUCGGACGGAAUAGUGGAUGGUAAUCUGGAGAACCGCUGCAAGUCGGAGAUGAUCCUGUUAGCCAGCAUCCGUCACGACAACAUCGUCAACGUCCUACACUUCAUCCAGAGGGAAAAUGCACUAUUGCUCGUUUACACGUACCAGGUGAACGGCAGCCUUGACCAGUGGCUGCACCGUCGAGAGGAGGGUGACCUGCCGCUGAGCUGGCCGCAGAGGAAGGCCAUUGCCAUUGGCGUGGCCCAAGGGCUCCGCCACUUACACCACGGAUGUAAUAGACCCAUUGUCCACCACAACAUCACCUCUACCAACAUCCUGCUUGAUCAUAAUUUCAAGGCCGUGAUAGCCAGUUUUGGUGCUGCACAGAUGAACAUGGCCGGGCUCAACCAACCAUUGCCUAUCGCGUGGACUGUGUUUGGUAACUUCGGGUAUGCAGCUCCAGAAUAUGGGAGGGCUGCAAGCCAGCUGACGGAGAAGGUAGACACGUACAGCCUUGGUGUGGUGCUGCUGGAGCUUGUCACAGGGCGGGUGGCCGAUGGGGUGGAUGGUCAGUUGGCCAUAUGGGCUCGUGACAACUGCAGUGAACUGAUGGCAAAGAAGCUGGAACGGUUCAAGAUUGCUGUGGACAAGGGCAUCCCAGAUCAAGCACAGUACAUGGAGGAGAUGGCGACCGUGUUCAGACUGGGUGUGGAUUGCACUGUCGAUGAUCCGCAGCAAAGGCCGUCCAUGCAGAUGGCUUUCAAACGACUCCGCCGCGGUCGUGGGCUUGGCCGAUUCGGUGGCCUUCUCACCUGCUAUAACCUAUACAUCACCAGUGAGGAUGUUACCCAAGUGAAAAAAGAGCUUAUGUUCUGUGGUACUUUGAAGUUUGAAGUGUAUGCUCUGCUUUCUUUUUGCUUGGCAAGAAAAGCCUCAGGAUGCCCCAAAGCCAAGGGAGGAUGGUUGCAAGGGAAAAUGGUUGCAAACUUCCCGCUUGAAUGCAAGGUUGUUCCUAGCCUUUUGUGUUUCUGCACUAGGGGAAUGCAUUCCGUAUUUGCAUCAGACUAUGAGACUGUAGGGGCAGUUGCGUUCAUUCGAUAA